CCCGCGCCAAAUCGUACCAGCACGUGGCGCGCACUGAUCUCACCUGUUUCUAUUUUUAGUUGUGCGCAUUAUCUUCUGCCAUCCCCGUGUGAGUAAGCGCUACAGCCGCAGAGGUGGAUAAGAAGGGGGUGGCAUCCAGCCAGACGGCGUUGUGCACACAUACACACUCACACACAGCGGCAGGGGGCAGAUACAUCCGCGUAGGGAAGUGGUGAGAGCGUGAAAAGACGCCACGAAAGCCAACAGAGCGAGGGAGCGACAGGAGAUCUGCACUAACCGUUAAGCAAACCUACCCCUCUCCCUUCUCUGCCGUGCCUCCCGCCACCGCCCUCCCUUUGUUUCUUCUCUGCCGGCUUGUUUGAAUUUUUGCGGAGUUUUGCCCCGUGCUCGCCUGGUCCCUCUCCCUCUUCUUCCGGCUUUCUUCCUCCGUUGCCCAGUGCGUUGAGCGACGAAGCGCUGGAAGCGAACGCAGUCCAUCUCGUCUCCUCAUCCUCUACCCGCUCAGCGCUGGACAAGCAAUCACGACACGGAACGGCAAGAUGACGUCACAGCUCGCCUCACAGCUACAGCGGCUGCAGCAGCGCCCGGAUGGGAGCCAGCACCGACUCGCCAAGUCGUUUCUCUUCAGCACGCAGGACGCACAGAGCUUCUCUCGGGAGCAAAUUCAUCAGCUGGCGUUGAAUGGCCUGCAAGCGUUGACAGCGAUGGACAAUCGGUUCCACCCUUUCAUCCAGGACCUCUUUGACGUGAAGCGUGUGCGUCAAGAGCGCUCGAUGCUGACGACAACGGAGGACUCCACGCUGCGCGUCCGCCUCGAGCACUUUCUCACGCUCCUCAGUCCCCAUCUCUUUCUUACUGCGGCGCAACAGGUGUUGGAGUUCCUGGUGCGCGUUUACGAGGUGCACAUCUACGACGUCGCAUCCGUGCUGCGCGCCUUCCUGCCGUACCACGAUCACAACAUCUUUGCCCGCGCACUGCUACUGCUCGACUUGCGUGACACGGGCUUCGACUUCCUCGCCACAAACCAGCUGCGCGGUGCUCCGCUGCUGCGGGAGCACCUCGUGCUUGCAUGUGCCGAGAGUCGCAAAGCCGCCAGGCUGGUCUGCCUCACGGUCGCCAUGCCGUUCCGGUACGAGAUCCGACAUCAUGCCGCCAACGCCCUCUUCGCCAGCGUUGUGACGCAGCUGACGACGCACAAGGACGCUGAGGCGCUCUGGCGCACGUUUCUGCCGUUUGUGCUCGAGCUGCUCUCUGGCGCCGUUUCGGGCGCAGAGGCUGGCACCGAGGAGUCGAAGCGUGCACGGCAGAGCGACAACGCACGCGGCGGGAGCAGCCGCGUAUCAACGGAGUCUGUGGCCACUGCCCUGGUCGUGCUGGCUGCCUGGUCGGCCCACGUGCGCUUCUCCAAAGCCAUGCUUAUCACCAUGCUGAAGCCGAUCUUUCGCUACACCACGGCAGCAGCCUUCGCAGCGACAGGCGAGGGCCAUCAUGGCGCUGGCGUAUCCUACCUGCCGGUGCGCGACCUGCUUGCUCUGCUGGAGAUCGUGCUAGCGACACAGCACCACGCGCUCUCUGACGUAUCCGUGGCGCCGCUCCUUCAGACGCUCUUGACGCUACCGUGGCGCACCUUAGCUUCGCAGCUCCCAUUUGCGGAGACGACGAUGAUGGUGGCAGGCCCCAACGGUGCACCAACAACGUCGCCGCGCCACAGCGCUCUUCUGGCCACGCUGCUGCAGACUGCGCUGGAGCGCCUGAGUAGCGUCUCGGAGGCGCGCCUGCUGCCCUCUGAAGUCGUCGAAUUCCUGACAUGCGCGGCGGAGGACUUGCCUCUCUCCAACUAUAUGGUCACGCGCUACCUGCGCGUGCUCAUGACCGCAGAGGCUGGCGCAAGCCCGGCAGGCGUCGUGGCCGACACACCGGCACGGGCGGCGGAGGGGGCGAGCAACCAAUCGCUGUACUACCGUCUGGCAGCGGCGCUGGAGCGACGGUAUGCCAUCGUCUUCGACGGCGUGCUAUCGGAAGUGCUUCUGCACCCCGAGACGACGGCGGCGGCUACCGCGUUUCUCGCCCGCCACUUCCGCGGCACGCGGUAUGGCAUGGUCGAGGUGGGCAGCACGCUCUCCGGGGCUACCGAGACACUGCCUUUGUUCGCGUGCCUGCUCCACCCCGUGCCGGAAGUGCGCGCGCUGGCUGCCAAGACGCUUCAGGGUAUGCCCACAGCGCAGCUGAUAAGUGACGCCAGCACGGCCAGCGGCAGUGGUCAGUCCCUCGUCGAUCUGCUGGCGCAUGUCAUCUCUUAUGAGCGCAACUGCACUGCGGCCGAGGCUUUUGUGGCCACCGCUGCUGCGGUGAUGGAGCGGCUGGCGGCUCGGUGGUCCAGCGAGAAGUCAAUGGGGCGCGACGAGCUUGGCUGCCGUGCUGCGUGUCAACUGGUGCGCUCCGUCUACUCCAUGGUGCUGGCGUGGUCGCCUUCGGUGGCCUCUGCCGCGCCGGCAGGCGUGGCAGCACGGGCUGAGGCGCAGCGCCGCGUGGUGCUGCCGCUCGUGACCACUCUCCUGCGGCCGGCUCUACUGACAUGGACGAGAGGUGCCAGCGCCAUGACGUCGGCUGCACAGGACUUUCGCACAUCAGUGCUCUACCAUGCGACUCUCCUGUACGCACAGUGGGCGGGGACACCCUCGGCAGCCAUGCAGACCCCAGGCGAAGAUGUCGCCCUGGCUGCGCAGGUGGCCAGCGGUCUGGUGGCGACGUUGGAGGCCGGCUGCGGAGGCCCAGACGCUCUGGCCCCGCUUUUCCGCGCCCGCUCCUCAUCCGACAAGGAGCAGGAUAAGAAGACUGCGAGGAACGGCAGAAGUGGCAAGAGGGAGCGACAACGGGUUGGCCGCCGCUGUAUCGCCUCGGCCGAGUCCGACUCCGACGACAGCAAGGAACAGCAGCAAUCGCAGGCGGGCAGCAGUGGCCGCAAUGGCUGCAUCGUAACCGGCGCGCGCAUUGCGUGGUUCACCGACCUCAUUCAGUGUGAUGCCCUACUUGACUCCAUCCGCACCGAGGCACAGCGGCGUCUGCCCGAUGCCUUCGCUGCCGCGCGCACGGCGGCGCGUGAGGCCGCUACAGACCUCUCCAGCGCUGCAUCCUGUGAGGUGGAGGUUGCCGUUGCUCUUGCCGCCGCGCUGCUGCCGGCGAUCGGAACAGAAGUGCCCGCCAACGUACUCGAGACGGUGUCUGCUGUCGUGAUAUUCCUGCAUGGCGGCAACGCGGCAAACGACGCUGCGGCCUCGGAGACUGCCAUGGCCAGCAGCACCACCUCCGCUGCAGCCGACGGGGGGUAUCUAGAUGUGGUUUACGCGACUUUUCUGGACAACGGCAGCGAACGACGCGUUGCUCAGGUGGGCCGUGGAACGGUGGACGCCGCCACGGCGGCUCGUGAGCAGCUGUACGAAGCUCCUCUCGUUGCAAGAGUUGGAGCCGUGCUGCGUGCGGCGCUCACGCGGGUGCUGGCGCGUGCGGCUACGGCGGCCGCUGCUUCCGUGAGCUCGUGGGCGCCGCUCGUGCUGCAGCUUUGCCAAGGCCUCGGCUUCGUCGGCGCUGCGCUGCCGAGUAUCGCGGCGCAGCCAGACGUCUUGGCGCCAGCGUAUCUCGAGCUAAUCAGCAGCAUGACUGCCGUGGCAACGACCGCAGAGGUGACAAGCGCCGCCGCUGCGUUGCGCCAGGUUGACUGGUACGCGCUUGUAGCGGACGCCGUGUUUAGCUCAGCAGAGCAGAGCGAGGUGAACGACGCCCCGUACGCGAAACCGAUGACCCUCGCCGCUCUUGCACUUGUGCUCUUCCUCCCGCUCCGCGCCCCAUCUACGCAACGCCUGGCGCAGCUGCGCGCGCUACAGGAUGCAGUGGUCACGGCCGGCGCACAGCACGGCAGUACCCGCGGAGGCGCGAACGGACUAACGGGAGAGCAAGUGAUUGUUGCCUCCGCCAUGCAGCUGCAGCAAGGUACCUCCUCGUCCACAUCGACGUCGGCGUGCACCGUGACGGCGCUGAGCUGCCUGAUCGAGUGCAUGGCUGUGGAGGAGCGCAAGUAUCAGCUGACCCCUAGCGCUGCCGCACUCGUAUGCUCGCUGCUGAAUAUGCAGAAUGGCACCGACGGCGGUGCGCAGGCGUACGUUGUGCCGGUUGGAUGGGCGCACCGCGUCGUUCGGUACUUCUUUCGCAGCCACAACAGUCACGGCGGUGAGCGUGCGCGUGCCGGCUCUUCCGCUGCUGCUGCGGUGCUGUCGCCUGCUGAAAUUACACCACAGCAGGUCUGCCUGAUCGAGGCUAUGCUGCCGCGUGUUGAGGGAAUUCUCACCAGCAUUGAGAACGUCGACGCAUCUUCUCCCUCUUCCUCGACCCGCACCGUCACCGCGGAUGCGGCCGACUUGGUCGACGCCGUUUGCAGCCGUCUGCGGCUCUGGGGAAGUGCGAGCGCGAAGGAAGACGCCGUCACCGGCAAUGCUUCCGUGAGGCUGGUUGAGCUGCUUCUGAAGCACCCGUAUGUGCACGUGCACCACGGCGGCGGUGCUCGGCCCGUGUACCGCUACGCGCUGGCUGCCCUGGCUGUCGGGCUGAGCUACGGUUUGGAGGACCGCCAGUCGACGCAGUCGACCGUCUUCAAGUCGAGGAAGUCGGCCUCCACGGCAGCGUCUCGCAAGGGCGAAUACGCAUUGUCGGCUGAGUACCAGCGACUGGUAGCGGCGCGGCUGCAGCCGGUGGUGCUGCAUGCCAUAGAUGUCAUUGGCACGGAUGUGGCCCUGGCGUGCAUGGGAACGCUGGGCGGGUACGAGUAUUUCUUUCUGCCUCUCGUUGCCUCUGUCGAGAGCGCGACGGCCUCUGCUGGUGGGCAUUCGCUCGUGACAUCGAAGGCAAAGACAGCCCAUGGUUGGCCCUCACAGGCGAUGAGCACUGGCCGUGAGACCGCAAGUGAAGCCGUUGCCGUGCUGCUAAAGCGUGUACACGAGAUGCUCGAGACCCUGGCGCCGUCGACCGCCGCGGCCGCUGACGAGACGCCGUCGGCGAAGCACAAUGGAGUAACCGAGCGCGCGGCGGAGGGGGAGGAUGGCGCGGCAUCCGCGCCGGAGGCGCGCUGGCGACCGCCGGCGUCGGCAGCCGUCGCAAACCCGCUAACUUUCGCAGACGCACGUCGUGUGCUGCGUCUGCCGUCUGUGUGCGCCGCUGCUGCCGGAGGCACCGGCAAAUGGCCUCUCGGCGCGCUGAGCCACGAGAGCCUGCGCCUCCUCCGCACACUGCUUCGCGUGCUGCCCACCGUCGCCAUGGACGAGGAGGAGGACGGCGAGAGCAUCUUUGCGCUGGUGAUGGAGUGCGUGGAGUUGUACCCGCUUCAAGGAAUGGAGGUGCUGCUGCGUCACGCGGCUUCCUCGGCCGUCUCAGACGAUGUGGCGAUGCUGCCGCGCGUCCAGCAGCUGCGUCUCGGUGCUCGCGGCUCGUUGCAAGUUGAAGGUGUGCUGCGGUUUGUGGAAACCCUCGUGCACGUGUGCACAGAUCAGACUCGGCUGCUGUCGGAGAAGGUGACAGACGGCGCCCAUCGCAUCAAGAGCCUGCUGCUGCGCGAGAUGAUGGUGCUGAUGGCGCGCCUACUCGUAGAUGACCUUAGGGAAGACGACGGCGCUGAGAAGGAUGAGGAGGCAUCUGCCGCUUCUCUGAGGCGUUCGGAGGUCGCUACCGAUGCAACGGAGUGGCGCCAAAGUGAGCUGCACUUUCAUGUGGACACAAUUGCCGGUCUCCUGCGGGCGACAGAACCGCUUUUGAAGGUGCCGACCGCUACCGCUGCCGCGGCAGUGACUGCCCGCACGAGCGUUGCGGAAAGCAGCACAUGCCUGCACAUCCCGCUCGUCUCUCUCCUCAUAAAGCUGGAGCCGUUCGACCACACGGAGGCGCUUGGCUUCCGCAGCGCGCGCGAAGUAUGCCAGGAAAUUCUGUCGAGCUUUGACGUACGCACGCAGGUGGAGUGCCUGGGGCAGCUGAUGCGCCUUGUUGCCGACCCGGCGGCGCAGCUCAGCUCCGGCGCCAACGCAGGGGAGGAUGGCGAGGAGCAGCAGCGAGUGCAGCACCUCUUCCGCCGCAUGGUGAAGCCGAAUCAGGUCAUCAACCGCCAGGAGGCGAUUAUGCAUCUCGUCAAUCUGACGGUGAAGUCUGACCUCUUCCUCGAGCCAUUCCUCGCCUUGCAGCGUCACGCCCGCUCCAGCCAACCGAGCCGCGCUGCAGAGAGGCGACGCCGGCAGCAGCAGCAGCAGCGCGGCGAAAGGAGCACCGGGGCCGACAAGGCGGAUGGGAAGGAGAGCGACGCCGACGAGGAGGCUGAGGAGCAGGCUGAGGGCGCGCCGCAGCGCGAGGACGGCGGCUGCAUGGGGCUGCUCGUGAGUGCGCUGGAGCUCUUUGCGCACUACCACGACCUGCACGAGACGACGCGCAGCAGCGCUGCAUCGGAGUCGGCGGAUGCAGAGGCGGAGGCGUACACAUCCUUGCUGGAGCUGCUUGCAGGCAACACACUCGCGUGUGUCCUGGCCGGCAUCAACGAGCCAACUUUUGUGGUUUGCCAGCAACGCCUGCUCGAGGACGAGCGGGCAGCACUGCGCAAGGUUGGACUGGAGGUGCUGCUAGAUCGCCUGCACCACUCCUUGCCGACGCUGGAGAAUGUCGUGUCUGAUGAAGAGAUGGAGGCGCAUCGACGGCGUCUGCGCGAUCCGCGGCAGCGCCUCUCUCUAGUGGAUCUGGUGCGCAUCAAGGCCCGCCCUCUCACGACGAAGCGGUCGAUCCAGCUCUUUCCGCUUCUGGUGGCGGAGAUCAAAUGCAGCCUGGCUCAGUUCCACGCGGCAGCGCAGUCCACCAACGCCGCAGGCGAGCUGCUCAUCACGGCGCAGCUCGGCAUCGCGGCGGUGGAGGAGCUCAUCCGCAUUGUCAGCAGCGGUGGCAGCUUGCAGUCGGAGAAGACUUUGCUCAACGCCAACCGCAGCAAGCGUGUGACGGAGGCGGCCCUUGUGAAGCUGUUCGGCAACCGCAGCCGCGUCGCCGCGGUUCACGAGCUGGUCGAUUUAAUCUGCAAUCACUGGAUGCCGCUGCUGACACGCUGCGAAAUGCGGCUGCGUUCUCGUGCAGAACAACCCGGCACGGACGGCGGUGCAUACGACUCGACUGCUGCGUCUCGCUCGGGUGCUGAAGAGAACGUGCUGGGCUGCAUGACGUGCCUCGUCACGGCACUGGCGACGAUCACGCAGGUGAUGGGGACGGCCUUCGCAUCGACUCACUGCCUCCACCUGCUGCACACGCUCGUGUCCGCCGGCGUGUACCAGGUUUUGGAGAUGCCCGGCGUCGUGUCUCGCAGCGAGGCUGGGGCGCUUCUUCGCCACAGUACUCUGUCCUCGAUGAUUCGCUGCUUCCCUGCGUGCUGGCAGAUGACUCAGCCGUACCUUCCCUCCAUGCUCUUCCUUGCAACGCACCUGAGGAACGUGACGGACGCGGAGUCGCACUAUCUCUGCGCAGAGAUGCUGGCAGUGCUGGAGGCUGUGAUGGAGCCGCAGCUGCUGCUGGACGCCGGCAGAGCGUGUCUGCAGGGCCUCCCGUACCUUAACGGGGCUGUUGUUCCGGCAUCUGAGCAGCAUCAGCUGACAAACCUCGCCGCCGAGGCAGCCGCGUCUGCCAGCGAGCCCGGAAAGGCGAAGAAGGGCACCGUGCGCGUGCGACAGAUCCGAGCACAGGUGCACACGCAUUCCUUCGCCCUUCUCUUUACCUGCUUCGAGCGCCGUGUCGAGAACAUGAGCAAGGAGGAACUGCUGCACAUGCGGACACUAACGGAGGGUACGACCCCUCAGCAGAACUUCUGGCUGGCCGCUUUCCAGUCCCUCGCGAGUGCGCCGUCUGUUCCGUCGAGCGAGGCGGUGAUGCCAGCGCUACAGGCCUUCACCGUCUUCUUGCUGAAGUUCAAGGCGAAGCACAGUGUUCGGCUGCUGCGCAUUGUUGCGGACUGGGCCUUUGCGGAGUCGAGCGGUGGCGUGGCCGGAGCGUCGCGCAAGCACGCAGCCGGCCUCGGUGACUCCGCCAACACCGCGGCCGAAGAGGAGCACAAUGGCCGCGGUCACGACGGCGCGGCGCAGUCGAUCUCGCGCGUGACGCUUCAGUCCUGGAUCGUCUUCUUCGCCCUCAGCAACCACCUGCUCGGUAAACUGGGCUCCAUCCUCGACUUCGCCUUCCCCAUCUUCCUCCCUCACGUCGUCACUGCCUUGCGCACGUACUGUGCAGCGACGGCAACGGCGUCCAAGUCGAUGAGCUCGCUUGUGGCCUUGGCGCUGGAGGGCGCGCUGGAGUGCAUGCGCAACAUGGCGCUUGCUCAGACGCCAGGGCCCGAUCACGACUACAGCAUCCAGGUCGACGUCUAUUUCGCAAAGGCGGAUGUCUUCCCGAGUGUGAUGCCGGCGUUGGUACAUCAGCUACACAACCUGCACUACCUGGAGGACAGCCAGCGCGACUACCGAUUCCGCGUAGAGCACAACGUCAUUCCGGCUAUCCGUGCCUUCAUGGCCUGCCUUGGAUCCAGCAAGCUGCAGAGCAGGACCCAGGCCGAGGUGGUGCGUGCCCUGCGUCACCCCAGCCGCCACGUACGGCGCGAGGCGCUCAUCUGUCUCGACGGCAUCUACGCCGACGGUGGUGACGAGCUGGCGUCGCGGCUCAUGGCGGAGAUGCUGCCGACUGUCGUCGAGCUAACCGAGGACCGCGACGACACUGUGGUUGAGGAGGCUCGUAAGCUCUGCAACAACCUCUCGCACAUGACCGGACAGGACGUCCUCUACGCGAUGAGCUAACCGUCUGUUGAGUGCCGCUAAACCAGCUGCUCAUCCACGUCACUGCGCCGGCCUCUUACCCUUCCCCUCUCCCCCCCACACCCCGCAUCGGCACUCGCUUGACUCUCCGUAAAGCGUCCUUCGCUCCUUCUUGUCUCUCAUCGCUGGUGAGUGCGCGGUGUAACAUAAGUGUGAACUCGUCUAAGUGUUAAGUAGCUUCUCUUGUGUGCGUACGCUGAACAUGUCUGUCUCGCUCGACGGCCCAUGAGGCCGUAACAAGCACGUAUGCAUAUACAUUCAGAUAUAUAUAGGCACGCUGAGAGACACCGCUGUGCACUACCGCAGAGUGUCGCACCGACGCCUGCGCGCGCAUAUGCGUGCGCCUGUGCGCGCGAGGCGCCUGCUUGCAUCGAGUCGUGUCGUCGUUUCUCGCUAUGUCGGUACCAUG
rnacentral:misc_RNA from 1 species